ensembl:lncRNA
CUGCGCUCCAAGCCUUCGCGGAUGCUGUAGUCUUGUGGUGGAGAAGAUUCUGAGAGAAGAUUCUGAGAGUCCCUCGGACUACAAGGAUAUCCAACCAAUCCAUCCUAAAGGAAAUCAGUCCUGAAUAUUCAUUGGAAGGACUGACGCUGAAGCUGAAACUCCAAUACUUUGGCCAUCUGAUGCAGAGAAAUGGCUAAUUGGAAAAGACCCUAAUUCUGGGAAAGGUUGAAGGCAGGAGGAGAAGGGGAUGACAGAGGAUGAGAUGGCUGGAUGGCAUCACCGACUCGAUGGACAUGAAUUUGAGUAAACUCCGGGAGUUGGUGAUGGACAGGAAAGCCUGGUGUGCUGCAGUUCAUGGGGUUGCAAACAGCCGGACACGACUGAGCAACUGAGCUGAACUGAGAAGGGCCGGACUCUCCCGGUUUCGAUGGCAACGCCAGAGUCUCGCGCAUCUCUGGCUCCUCCUAAGGUUCUUUCAUUGACACAUGAGAGAAAUUAAAAGAUCUGCUUUCUCAAUCUCCCACAUGUAGAGAUGCUAAAAAAGAUGAUACAUCAGUAUCAGAGGAUUCCGACUCAGGUCUCUUGUCACAAAAACUCGGCUUGUUUCCAGGGCAUAAAUCCAAGGGAGAAAUACUCAACAGAGCUCAGGAAGGCAGCCAUGAGUAAAACUGAGAAGUCCCACUCCAGCAAGCCAUUUCCUUUGGAAAUGUAACAGUUUCCAGAGACGGGAAUAAGUGACAGAGUAAUAAGGUAGAUGAUCCCAGGUGCCAGCAGACAAACUCAGAAUGUGGGACAGUGUACAAAACAACUCAUCUAAUUUAUUCUGUAAAUUAAUGUCAUAUUGAAAAG